UUAUUGAAAGAUACGGGUAAUAAUCCUUAAAACAAAACUCAAGAUGUAUUUGAGUGUGUCUUCACUGUCAACAAGAAAAAAAAAUGGCGUGCGCGACUUUAGAUUCCUAAGCCCGUAAGAUUCCGGAAAAUCCUCUUAAUUUGGCCAGGCAACCCACGAAUGGCAUGAGCACUUAAGAUUAAGCUGAUCAAGGCCCACACCGCAAACGCGAGGAAUAAAGCUCAUCAAAGUGCAGCAGAUGCCGGAACAAUCCUCAUCAACCGGCCGAACAAACACUGGAGCGGUUCCAGUGCCCCAGCACCACGCUCCGUAGAAGCGGCAGCAGCUGUGGUCUGUGUAAAAUUGUAAAUACAAUUGGAGAUGGCAGCGAUUUGCGGAUUUGGUGGUGGUGGCGUCGAAGGAAAAGUUUUCCGGAAACCUUGAAUCCCAAAAUGCAGUUGUUUAGAGUAAUCUAAAAUUGACUGAAAGGAUGAGGCAAAACAAACGGUUGCACUACGGUGCGCAGAAUCUGAGCCUCCCAAAAUAAACUGCCGGAAUCGGUCCGCAGAUACCAGCUCCGGUGAUGUGCAGGGUCUACACCGUAUUUUGAGAAAUAGUAAACAGCAAGAUCUUCAUCAACCGGAACCUGCAGGGCUGGAGGUCAUAUCAUUGCACAGUGGUGCAGAACAUCAAUCUAGCUGUACGAAAUUAAUAGCGCCCAGGGAUGAAGAGAUAGACAUUUGAUGUCUUCAGCAACAUUGUUCAGUUUUACAAGGGGCAUAUUCUAGUAUCAAAAUUUUUGCCGAGGGGUCCACCGAUAGCGAGAUAAAAAUGCUAACUUUUUUGUUUUUCAAAUUAGAGCUUUGAUGUCUUCGACAAAGUUGUUUAUCUGAUCAAAAUACAUAAGUUUGUUGAAUAUGUCAAAGUCCUAUCACAUCACUCUCUGGAGUUACAGUCAAAGUAAAAAAAAUCUCUUGAAAAAACAGUUUUUUGAACCUGACACGUUGUAGAUUGGAUGAAAUGGUUCGCUGUCUUUGAAACAAAGUUGUAACAAGCCACGAUCUACAUUUGUCUCAUACAUUAUGAUGGGUUUAGAAGUUGCUGAAGCUCUAUAGAAAGCAUUUAGUGUAUUUUAUUGGCAAUUUUGGAAGGCUCAUCCAUCGAAAAGUGCACAUUUUCGCAACAUCCCAUUUUUUAUGAUUAUUUUUGAUGAUAAGCGGAACCAUUUCCAUCUGAAGUUAGCGCGGAAAUCGGUGGAACUAGUAGGGAUUUGAAUGAUUGAAAAUACACAUUUUAGGUAAAAAUUACCUAUUUUACUUAUAGAAAAAACGUUUAAAAAUUUAAUUGAUUAAUAAAAUGUUGCAGUUUCCGUUUAUACAUUUUCUUUUAUUAAAAGCAGUGUUCUGAAUAUCACUCAUUUUCAAUGAAUGUUUCUGAUUGCACUUCGCACCUGAACGUACAGCGGUCGGGUUUCGUUAUUGAUUGCUACUGGACCUACCCGAUCAUCGAUCGUUCAAUUCAUCGCUAAAAUACAGAUCACCUCGCACGAUGCUUGCUGUCAAAACAGUGCAGCACCAUCAUCAAAUUGGAAUAUCACCAAUGCGCAAUGCAUAUGGCGAAUCUUGUUGGUCUUCGAUCAGGAGUGAAUGGAUCAGGCAGUGAGUGAAUGAUACAUGAAGCCGAUCAUUAGCGUAUUUUGUUUGAUUUGAUAUAAAGCAAAUUAAUAAAUUUAUUUGUUGUUAUAACGUUUUUUAACAUCAGUAUGAUCAAAAUCAAAUUGCAGUUGUGUUUGUGAGGGAAAGAUGUUCACUUUCGCCGUGUUUUUCAAUUUUUACAAGUUCUCUUAUUAAAAUGUCGUACGUCACGUUAAAACUACUGAGAAUUUAUGGUGUCCCGCACAACUGUUUGAUUUUUCUCGUCCUGCAAAAAAUAAUUUUGAAUUUCAUAUAAUUCAGGCAGAUACUGAGUGAGCUACAUUCAGAAUGGAUCAGUUUGUAUCUCACUCAUCUCCGAUAUGCGAUGUUUGCUGAACCGAUGAUUCUGAAUGAUGCGACUCGGUUUGCAUAGCUGAUAGGAGCGCUGAUCGAGAUUGCAUACCAGCCAGGCGAAGCAGUAGCGAGAGGCGCUAUCCCAUUAUACAAUCGGAAUGUUUCCAACAGGAAACGCAUCCUGAGUGUUUGUUUUGAUUGAUUUUCGGACCAUUGAUUAAAAGGCAUUCAAAUUCGAUUAAAACUUAUGACUCAACGAAAAGACAAAAGCGAAUUGCUUGUAAGAUUGGUUACUUGGUCACAGUUACUUGGAACCAGUUAUAGCAGUUAUAUUGUAAUGGCAAAAUUCUAUAAUUCAAAUACUAAUUUAGUGCUCUACCAAAUUUAACAGAUAAGUUCCAUUCAUUUUUUGGGGUUUAAAUAAUUUGAAAAAUCGAAUUUAAAUGUCUUUUAAUAAAACAAAAUAUAUAAAAGAAAACUGCAACACUUUAUUAACAAAUUAAAUGUUUUAACGUUUUUUCUAUAAGUAAAAUAGGUAAUUUUUACAUAAAAUGUGAAAUUUUCAAACAUUCAAAUCUCUACUAGUUCCACCGAUUUCCGCGCUAAUUUAAAAUGGAAAUGGUUCCGCUUAUCAUCAAAAAUAAUCAUAAAAAAUGGGAUGUUGCGAAAAUGUGCACUUUUCGAUGGAUGAGCCUUCCAAAAUUGCCAAUAAAAUACACUAAAUGCUUUCUAUAGAGCUUCAGGAACUUCUAAACCCAUCAUAAUGUAUGAGACAAAUGUAGAUCGUGGCUUGUUACAACUUUGUUUCAAAGACAGCGAACCAUUUUAUCCAAUCUACAACGUGUCAGGUUCAAAAAACUGUUUUUUCAAGUGAUUUUUUUUACUUUGACUGUAACUCCAGAGAGUGAUGUGAUAGGACUUUGACAUAUUCAACAAACUUAUGUAUUUUGAUCAGAUAAACAACUUUGUCGAAGACAUCAAAGCUCUAAUUUGAAAAACAAAAAAGUUAGCAUUUUUAUCUCGCUAUCGGUGGACCCCUCGGCAAAAAUUUUGAUACUAGAAUAUGCCCCUUGUAAAACUGAACAAUGUUGCUGAAGACAUCAAAUGUCUAUCUCUUCAUCCCUGGGCGCUAUUAAUUUCGUACAGCUAGAUUGCUGUUCUGCACCACUGUGCAUUGUAAAGAAGGUCAACGUAUUUUCGUGUCGCCUACGCUUCCAAAGCAGAAAUCCUCUUAUUUCAACCAAAAUUCCCGGAAUCGCGUGGCAGGAAACGGCUCCAGUAAUGUGCUGGGACACUGUCUUACGCUGGAGUAAGAAAAGUCCGCCUGAGAAAUCUUACAAUGUGCACAGUGCCGAUACGCCAGCAACGGAGGAAACAUGCAAAUUGAAGACGGUCCCGAGCUAAAAAAAUCCGUUGGGAAGGAUUCUAAAACAUGGCCUGUGAUAGAAGAAUACUAAUCUCUAGAAGAUACGAAACUGCAGGUUACAAUUAAGUCGAGUUGAAAUUCGCGAUAGUGACCUUUUGAAAUGACAGCUCUUCCAGUAAGGCACUCCAUUUGAAUCCAGGAGUCACUUUUGUUUCCAACUAGGCGACGAAGGUGAUAGAUGCGUUUAUUGAAGGCCGAGAAUCCUGAAUACAAUUUAAUCCUCCUCAGCAUUGGGCCUUACAAAUGCUGCUCGGGCGUGACUAUUUGGCGACUUGAAUGUUUUUUUUUUGCAUAAAGAUAAUGACCACAUUAUACAUAUGUAUGAUUUUUUUAUAUUGUAAUCAUUGU